rfam:Pan troglodytes isolate Yerkes chimp pedigree #C0471 (Clint) chromosome 14, whole genome shotgun sequence.
GCCGGGCAUGGUGGUGGGUGCCUGUAAUCCCAGCUACUUGGAGGCUGAGGCAGGGGGAAUUGCUUGAACCUGGGAGACGGAGGGUGCAGUGAGCCGAGAUCAUGCCACUGCACCCCAGCCUGGGUAACAGAGCGAGACUCCAUCUCAA